GGAUUUCAGUUUCAGGCCUCACUUCACUGGAAAACACUGAGAUUGAUGUCAUGGUGAGGAGGGGUUGCACCAUGAAGAUUGGAGACUGCUCUGAAGAGCCAGAGAUGGAGUCAGAGAUCAGCAGGAGAGUUCUUGUGAUGCAAAAGAAGUAUAUAAGCUAUGAGACACUGAAGAGGGACAUGGUUCCAUGUACAAAACCAGGUGCAUCUUACUAUGAUUGUCAUGCUGCAGAGGCCAAUCCUUACAGCAGAGGUUGUGAGGUCAUUACAAGGUGUAGAGGG
rnacentral:misc_RNA from 1 species